AAAUGCCUUGCGGGUGCUAUACAUGCAGUCGAACGAGUUCUCGUUGAUGAUCGGUGCUUGCACCGAGAUUCAACAUGGAACGAGUGGCGGACGGGUGAGUAACACGUGGGUAACCUGCCCUUAAGUGGGGGAUAACAUUUGGAAACAGAUGCUAAUACCGCAUAGAUCCAAGAACCGCAUGGUUCUUGGCUGAAAGAUGGCGUAAGCUAUCGCUUUUGGAUGGACCCGCGGCGUAUUAGCUAGUUGGUGAGGUAAUGGCUCACCAAGGCGAUGAUACGUAGCCGAACUGAGAGGUUGAUCGGCCACAUUGGGACUGAGACACGGCCCAAACUCCUACGGGAGGCAGCAGUAGGGAAUCUUCCACAAUGGACGCAAGUCUGAUGGAGCAACGCCGCGUGAGUGAAGAAGGCUUUCGGGUCGUAAAACUCUGUUGUUGGAGAAGAAUGGUCGGCAGAGUAACUGUUGUCGGCGUGACGGUAUCCAACCAGAAAGCCACGGCUAACUACGUGCCAGCAGCCGCGGUAAUACGUAGGUGGCAAGCGUUAUCCGGAUUUAUUGGGCGUAAAGCGAGCGCAGGCGGUUUUUUAAGUCUGAUGUGAAAGCCCUCGGCUUAACCGAGGAAGCGCAUCGGAAACUGGGAAACUUGAGUGCAGAAGAGGACAGUGGAACUCCAUGUGUAGCGGUGAAAUGCGUAGAUAUAUGGAAGAACACCAGUGGCGAAGGCGGCUGUCUGGUCUGUAACUGACGCUGAGGCUCGAAAGCAUGGGUAGCGAACAGGAUUAGAUACCCUGGUAGUCCAUGCCGUAAACGAUGAAUGCUAGGUGUUGGAGGGUUUCCGCCCUUCAGUGCCGCAGCUAACGCAUUAAGCAUUCCGCCUGGGGAGUACGACCGCAAGGUUGAAACUCAAAGGAAUUGACGGGGGCCCGCACAAGCGGUGGAGCAUGUGGUUUAAUUCGAAGCAACGCGAAGACCUUACCAGGUCUUGACAUUCUUUGAUCACCUGAGAGAUCAAGCUUCCCCUUCGGGGGCAAAUGACAGUGUUGCAUGUUGUCGUCAGCUCGUGUCGUGAAAUGUUGGUUAAGUCCCGCACGAGCGCAACCCUUAUGAACUAGUUGCAGCAUUUAGUUGGCACUCUUAAGUUAGGACUUGUC
rnacentral:rRNA from 1 species